GAAAUGCGAUAAGUAAUGCGAAUUGCAGAAUUUCAGUGAGUCAUCGAAUCUUUGAACGCACAUUGCGCCCUUUGGUAUUCCGAAGGGCAUGCCUGUUCGAGCGUCAUUAACACCCCUCAAGCCUGGCUUGUUGUUGGACUGGGUCUGGAUGACACCCGACCCGUCCCAAAGAUAAUGACGGCGUCCGUGGGACCCUCGGUGCAACGAGCUCUUCCAAAGCACGCAUCGAGUUGCAAGGCCCCUCGGCACGGUCUACAGCUUUAAAUUUCUAAGGUUGACCUCGGAUCAGGUAGGAAUACCCGCUGAACUUAAGC
rnacentral:misc_RNA from 1 species